rnacentral:rRNA from 1 species
UACGGGGGGUGCGAGCGUUGUCCGGAAUCACUGGGCGUAAAGGGCGCGUAGGCGGCCGAUCAAGUCGGGGGUGAAAGCCUGUGGCUCAACCACAGAAUUGCCUUCGAUACUGUUUGGCUUGAGACCGGAAGAGGUAAGUGGAACUGCGAGUGUAGAGGUGAAAUUCGUAGAUAUUCGCAAGAACACCAGUGGCGAAGGCGGCUUACUGGUCCGGUUCUGACGCUGAGGCGCGAAAGCGUGGGGAGCAAACAGG